AUGAGAUAUCCAAUUGAGCAUCAUGCAUCUAAGAUAUACACGAUCAGCGUGUACAAACUUUUUCUUCAAGAACUACUCAAAUCAAGCUCUUACAUUGUUACUAUUUUGACUGAUGGUGCAUUAUAUGAGGUACGGCACGUUGAAUCUACAACUCGAGAGGCUUGGUCUCGUGUUAUUUUCAAUAUUGAGAUCAUCUGCAACGGUCAGUUUUACAAAUGCCAGUGUGGGUUGUACAGUCAUUUUGGCAUACUUUGUUGCCAUGCACUUAGGGUUAUGCUUCAUCUAGGUGUAUGCAAAAUACCAGAUUUGCACAUCAUGAAGCGUUGGACUCGACAAGCUAGGUCUACAGUCCCUGCCAAUCUAGUUGAACCAAAUGUUGAAAAGGGACCUAUAUUGACUAAAGAAUUCAGACAUGAGAUGAUACAUAUGGCAACAAUUGAAAUUCCAAGCCUUGGUGACCAUGACAAUGAAACAUAUGACAUAGUUAUGAGGAACAUCGAGCGAUUGAAGAAAGAGGUUUCAGUGUACAUGUCCUCCAUAUCUACCACUUGUCAGAUAGGAUAUGGCUCUCACCAAUCAAGCGAAGAUGUGAAUUCUAGUCACAAUUCUAUGAUGGAUGACUGUAGUGAUGCUGAUUCCUCAAAAAGUUUAUGCAUAGUUGAUGAGAAUAGCAACAAGUCCAUAUCAAUUAGUUCUAUUAAAGGACCACUGAUAAAGAAGAAAAAGGGAAGGGAUCACAACUCGAGGUACAAGUCCAGGUUGGAAGGAAUAAUACGGAAACCAAGACCAUUGCCAGCCAAAGACGAGACUUGUAAGCAACCAGGAGGACAGUCCGGCGUCCAGCAGACAAGGUUUUGCGGCUACUGCCGUGGAAAAGGACAUGAUGUUAGAAGAUGUGAGACUAGGUGA
rnacentral:rRNA from 1 species